UCAGAACGAACGCUGGCGGCGCGUUUAAGCAUGCAAGUCGAGCGGCAGGGGCCUUCGGGCCCUAGAGCGGCGGACGGGUGAGUAACACGUGGACAAUCUGCCCCCCGGCCCAGGAUAGCCCAGGGAAACCUGGAUUAAUACCGGAUGAGACGGGACCUGCGAUGGCGGGAUCUGGGAAAGGCGCUACGGCGCCGCCGGGGGAUGAGUCUGCGUCCCAUUAGCUAGACGGCGGGGUAACGGGCCCACCGUGGCGACGAUGGGUAGCCGGCCUGAGAGGGUGGACGGCCACAUUGGAACUGAGACACGGUCCAGACUCCCACGGGAGGCAGCAGCUAAGAAUCUUCCGCAAUGGGCGAAGCCUGACGGAGCGACGCCGCGUGAACGAAGGAAGGCCGUGAGGUUGUAAAGUUCUUUUCGGGAGGGGGAACAACCGUGGCAGGGAAUGGCCGCGGGAUGACGUGAAUCCCGGAAUAAGCCCCGGCUAACUACGUGCCAGCCGCCGC
rnacentral:rRNA from 1 species